rnacentral:rRNA from 1 species
UACGAACUGUGCGAACGUUAUUCGGAAUCACUGGGCUUACAGGGUGCGUAGGCGGCUAUUCAGGUCAGGUGUGAAAGCCCCCGGCUCAACCGGGGAACUGCGCUUGAAACCGAACGGCUCGAGUCAGCUAGAGGUACACGGAACUUCCAGUGGAGCGGUGAAAUGUGUUGAUAUUGGAAGGAACACCGGAGGCGAAAGCGGUGUACUGGGGCUGGUCUGACGCUGAGGCACGAAAGCCAGGGGAGCGAACGGG